GCCUAAAGAGAAGCUUGCGGCUGAUUAGCUUGUUGGUAAGGUAAUGGCUUACCAAGGCGACGAUCAGUAUCUGGUUUGAGAGGACGAUCAGACACACUGGAACUGAGACACGGUCCAGACUCCUACGGGAGGCAGCAGUGGGGAAUUUUCCGCAAUGGGCGAAAGCCUGACGGAGCAAUACCGCGUGAGGGAUGAAUGCCUAUGGGUUGUAAACCUCUUUUUUCAGGGAGGAAAAAAAUGACGUGUACCUGAAGAAUAAGCAUCGGCUAACUCCGUGCCAGCAGCCGCGGUAAGACGGAGGAUGCAAGUGUUAUCCGGAAUCACUGGGCGUAAAGCGUCUGUAGGUGGUUUGAUAAGCCAACUGUUAAAUCUUGAGGCUCAACCUCAAAACCGCAGUCGAAACUAUUAGACUAGAGUAUAGUAGGGGUAAAGGGAAUUUCCAGUGGAGCGGUGAAAUGCGUAGAGAUUG
rnacentral:rRNA from 1 species